CGUGGAUAACCUACCUAUAAGACUGGGAUAACUUCAGGAAACCGGAGCUAAUACCGGAUAAUAUAUUGAACCGCAUGGUUCAAUAGUGAAAGACGGUUUUGCUGUCACUUAUAGAUGGAUCCGCGCCGCAUUAGCUAGUUGGUAAGGUAACGGCUUACCAAGGCAACGAUGCGUAGCCGACCUGAGAGGGUGAUCGGCCACACUGGAACUGAGACACGGUCCAG
rnacentral:rRNA from 1 species